GACGAACGCUGGCGGCGUGCUUAACACAUGCAAGUCGAGCGGUAAGGCCCUUUCGGGGGUACACGAGCGGCGAACGGGUGAGUAACACGUGGGUGACCUGCCCUCAGCUCUGGGAUAAGCCUGGGAAACCGGGUCUAAUACCGGAUAUGACUCCAUGACGCAUGUUGUGGGGUGGAAAGCCUUGUGCGGCUGAGGAUGGGCCCGCGGCCUAUCAGCUUGUUGGUGGGGUGAUGGCCUACCAAGGCGACGACGGGUAGCCGGCCUGAGAGGGCGACCGGCCACACUGGGACUGAGACACGGCCCAGACUCCUACGGGAGGCAGCAGUGGGGAAUCUUGCGCAAUGGGCGAAAGCCUGACGCAGCGGCGCCGCGUGAGGGAUGACGGCCUGUGUAAC
rnacentral:rRNA from 1 species